AGUGAACGCUGGCGGCAUGCCUAACACAUGCAAGCCGAACGAUGAAGUCCUUCGGGAUGGAUUAGUGGCGCACGGGUGAGUAUACCAUAGAUAAUGUACCUCUUAGUUCGGGAUAGCCACUGGAAACGGUGAUUAAUACCGGAUACUCCUUCUUGUCUUAAGACGAGUCGGGAAAGUUUUUUCGCUAAGAGAUCAGUCUAUGUCCUAUCAGCUAGUUGGUGAGGUAAUGGCUCACCAAGGCUAUGACGGGUAUCUGGUUUGAGAGGAUGAUCAGACACACUGGAACUGAGACACGGUCCAGACUCCUACGGGAGGCAGCAGUGAGGAAUAUUGCACAAUGGAGGAAACUCUGAUGCAGCAACGCCGCGUGGAGGAUGACGCAUUUCGGUGUGUAAACUCCUUUUAAGAGGGAAGAUAAUGACGGUACCUCUUGAAUAAGCACCGGCUAACUCCGUGCCAGCCGCCGCCGUAACAC
rnacentral:rRNA from 1 species